rnacentral:rRNA from 1 species
AGAGUUUGAUCAUGGCUCAGAUUGAACGCUGGCGGCAGGCCUAACACAUGCAAGUCGAGCGGUAGCACAGAGAGCUUGCUCUCGGGUGACGAGCGGCGGACGGGUGAGUAAUGUCUGGGAAACUGCCUGAUGGAGGGGGAUAACUACUGGAAACGGUAGCUAAUACCGCAUAAUGUCGCAAGACCAAAGUGGGGGACCUUCGGGCCUCAUGCCAUCAGAUGUGCCCAGAUGGGAUUAGCUAGUAGGUGGGGUAACGGCUCACCUAGGCGACGAUCCCUAGCUGGUCUGAGAGGAUGACCAGCCACACUGGAACUGAGACACGGUCCAGACUCCUACGGGAGGCAGCAGUGGGGAAUAUUGCACAAUGGGCGCAAGCCUGAUGCAGCCAUGCCGCGUGUGUGAAGAAGGCCUUCGGGUUGUAAAGCACUUUCAGCGGGGAGGAAGGCGGUGAGGUUAAUAACCUCAUCGAUUGACGUUACCCGCAGAAGAAGCACCGGCUAACUCCGUGCCAGCAGCCGCGGUAAUACGGAGGGUGCAAGCGUUAAUCGGAAUUACUGGGCGUAAAGCGCACGCAGGCGGUCUGUCAAGUCGGAUGUGAAAUCCCCGGGCUUAACCUGGGAACUGCAUUCGAAACUGGCAGGCUAGAGUCUUGUAGAGGGGGGUAGAAUUCCAGGUGUAGCGGUGAAAUGCGUAGAGAUCUGGAGGAAUACCGGUGGCGAAGGCGGCCCCCUGGACAAAGACUGACGCUCAGGUGCGAAAGCGUGGGGAGCAAACAGGAUUAGAUACCCUGGUAGUCCACGCCGUAAACGAUGUCGAUUUGGAGGUUGUGCCCUUGAGGCGUGGCUUCCGGAGCUAACGCGUUAAAUCGACCGCCUGGGGAGUACGGCCGCAAGGUUAAAACUCAAAUGAAUUGACGGGGGCCCGCACAAGCGGUGGAGCAUGUGGUUUAAUUCGAUGCAACGCGAAGAACCUUACCUGGUCUUGACAUCCACAGAACUUUCCAGAGAUGGAUUGGUGCCUUCGGGAACUGUGAGACAGGUGCUGCAUGGCUGUCGUCAGCUCGUGUUGUGAAAUGUUGGGUUAAGUCCCGCAACGAGCGCAACCCUUAUCCUUUGUUGCCAGCGGUUAGGCCGGGAACUCAAAGGAGACUGCCAGUGAUAAACUGGAGGAAGGUGGGGAUGACGUCAAGUCAUCAUGGCCCUUACGACCAGGGCUACACACGUGCUACAAUGGCAUAUACAAAGAGAAGCGACCUCGCGAGAGCAAGCGGACCUCAUAAAGUAUGUCGUAGUCCGGAUUGGAGUCUGCAACUCGACUCCAUGAAGUCGGAAUCGCUAGUAAUCGUAGAUCAGAAUGCUACGGUGAAUACGUUCCCGGGCCUUGUACACACCGCCCGUCACACCAUGGGAGUGGGUUGCAAAAGAAGUAGGUAGCUUAACCUUCGGGAGGGCGCUUACCACUUUGUGAUUCAUGACUGGGGUGAAGUCGUAACAAGGUAACCGUAGGGGAACCUGCGGUUGGAUCACCU